AUUGAACGCUGGCGGCAUGCUUUACACAUGCAAGUCGAACGGUAACAGGCCGCAAGGUGCUGACGAGUGGCGAACGGGUGAGUAAUGCAUCGGAACGUGCCCAGUCGUGGGGGAUAACUACUCGAAAGAGUAGCUAAUACCGCAUACGAUCUAUGGAUGAAAGCGGGGGACCGUAAGGCCUCGCGCGAUUGGAGCGGCCGAUGUCAGAUUAGGUAGUUGGUGGGGUAAAGGCUCACCAAGCCAACGAUCUGUAGCUGGUCUGAGAGGACGACCAGCCACGCUGGGACUGAGACACGGCCCAGACUCCUACGGGAGGCAGCAGUGGGGAAUUUUGGACAAUGGGCGCAAGCCUGAUCCAGCAAUGCCGCGUGCAGGAAGAAGGCCUUCGGGUUGUAAACUGCUUUUGUACGGAGCGAAACGGCUCUGGUUAAUACCCGGGGCUAAUGACGGUACCGUAAGAAUAAGCACCGGCUAACUACGUG
rnacentral:rRNA from 1 species